rnacentral:rRNA from 1 species
UUGCACGCUGGCGGCAGGCCUAACCCAUGCAAGUCGAGCGGAUGAAGGGAGCUUGCUCCUGGAUUCAGCGGCGGACGGGUGAGUAAUGCCUAGGAAUCUGCCUGGUAGUGGGGGAUAACGUCCGGAAACGGGCGCUAAUACCGCAUACGUCCUGAGGGAGAAAGUGGGGGAUCUACGGACCUCACGCUAUCAGAUGAGCCUAGGUCGGAUUAGCUAGUUGGUGGGGUAAAGGCCUACCAAGGCGACGAUCCGUAACUGGUCUGAGAGGAUGAUCAGUCACACUGGAACUGAGACACGGUCCAGACUCCUACGGGAGGCAGCAGUGGGGAAUAUUGGACAAUGGGCGAAAGCCUGAUCCAGCCAUGCCGCGUGUGUGAAGAAGGUCUUCGGAUUGUAAAGCACUUUAAGUUGGGAGGAAGGGCAGUAAGUUAAUACCUUGCUGUUUUGACGUUACCAACAGAAUAAGCACCGGCUAACUUCGUG